GUGUCUAUGGGGUUGAUUUACUCAAGGCCAAUACUGUCCACUUUACAAUGUGCAGUUGCUCUCUGCACGUGCAGUUGCUCCAGAGCUUAGUAAAUGAGUAUUCCAAUUGUCAGAGGGGAUAGAACGUAAGUCAUUUUGAGUCUGAUUUGCCACCUGCCUCGAUGUUCAGGCAUGCAUGCUUAAUUAAUCUAAUUAGGCUACACACAGAUCAAAUGUAAAUUUGCAGCCUGCCUCUGUGAAAAAUUAGUUUUUGUUUGUAUUCUACCUAAUAUAUUUUUUUUUUCAGUUCAGAUCACUGUUACAAAGUGAUCUAGAGAGGCUGUCUUUCUUGAAAUAAAAUACAGAGAAAUAUCUUUACCCUCCA